AUUGAACGCUGGCGGCAGGCCUAACACAUGCAAGUCGAGCGAGCGGCGGACGGGUGAGUAAUGUCUGGGAAACUGCCUGAUGGAGGGGGAUAACUACUGGAGACGGUAGCUAAUACCGCAUACCAUCAGAUGUGCCCGGAUGGGAUUAGCUCGUAGGUGGGGUAACGGCUUACCUAGGGGACGAUCCCUCGUUGGUCUGAGAGGAUGACAGUCCACACUGGAACUGAGACACGGCCCAGACUCCUACGUGAGGCAGCAGUGGGGAAUAGUGCACAAGGGGCGCAAGCCUGAUGCAGCAAGGCCGCGUGUAUGAAGAAGGACUUCGGGUUGUAAAGUACUUGCAGCGGGGAGGCGUUACCCGCAGAAGAAGCACCGGCUAACUCCGUGCCAGCAGCCGCGGUAAUUC
rnacentral:rRNA from 1 species